rnacentral:rRNA from 1 species
GGGUGUGAGAGCACUUGCCCAGAGAUGGUUUCUGAGACACGAAACCAGGCCUUACGGGGCGCAGCAGGCGCGAAAACUUCGCAAUGCGGGAAACCGUGACGAGGGAACUCCGAGUGUCUAUGCAUUGCAUAGACUGUUUUUUAGCCUAAAUAGCUAUUAGAGUAAGGGGUGGGCAAGACCGGUGCCAGCCGCCGCGGUAACACCGGCACCCCGAGUGGUAGCCACUAUUAUUGGGCCUAAAGCGUUCGUAGCCGGUUUGGUAAAUUCUUGGGUAAAUCGUACCGCUCAACGGUGCGGAUUCCGGGGACACUACCAGACUUGAGACCGGGGGAGAUCAGAGGUACUUGCGGGGGAGCGGUGAAAUGUUGUAAUCCCGCAGGGACCACCAGUGGCGAAGGCGUCUGAUCAGAACGGCUCUGACGGUGAGGAACGAAACCCUGGGGCGCAAACGGGAUUAGAUACCCCGGUAGUCCAGGGCGUAAACGCUGCUGACUUGGUGUUGGGGAUCCUACGAGGAUGUCCAGUGCUGGCGCGAAGGUAUUAAGUCAGCCGCCUGGGGAGUACGGUCGCAAGACUGAAACUUAAAGGAAUUGGCGGGGGAGCACUGCAACGUGUGGAGCGUGCGGUUUAAUUGGACUCAACGCCGGGA